rnacentral:rRNA from 1 species
AUUGAACGCUGGCGGCAGGCCUAACACAUGCAAGUCGAACGAGUGGCAGACGGGUGAGUACUGUCUGGGAAACUGCCUGAUGGAGGGGGCUCACUACUGGAAAAGGUAGCUAAUACCGCAUACCAUCGGAUGAUCCCAGAUGGGAUUAGCUAGUAGGUGGGGUAAAGGCUCACCUAGGAGAAGAUCCCUAGCUGGUCUGAGAGGAUGACCAGCCACACUGGAACUGAGACACGUUCCAGACUCGUACGGGAGGCAGCAGUGGGGAAGUGUGCACAAGGGUCGCUAGCCUGAUGCAGCCAUGCGGGGUGUAUGAAGAAGGCCUUCGGGUUGUAAAGUACGUUCAGCGGGGAGGCGUUACCCGCAGAAGAAGCAACGGCUAACUCAGUGCCAGCAGCCGCGGUAAUAC